CAUAUGCCAUGGCAUGCUUUUUGCUACGAAACCGCAGCCAUCUAGUCACUCGCCAGAGAAGGAUGAGAAACUGCACCCCAGCGAGAGGGACUGCCUCACAUCAGCAACCAAAUCCGUCGGUCACCGAAUUCAGUAAUCUCCGUCUCUUUGUCCAUUCUCUCUGACAAGCAUGUUCUCCUAUGGGACACGAAGUACAUGAAGAGGAAUGAAGAAGCACAUGUUUGAUGGUCGUCUCCAGGGUGGAGAAUUUAAUUUAUAAGUAAUGAAGUGGCAUCUGACACGUGACAAGCUGCUCCUGUUUGCACAGCAACUUCAACAUUGUGUACUGUGAUCACGGCAUAGUUCAGAGAUCUGGUGUCCCAGUACGGGAUAGAGACCAUCGUUCUGUUUAACAAGAGGAUAGUUGUGCAUCAUCUAUGACUGGCGGCUCAGCAGGAAUUCAACAGCUCCCGAGGGAAGGAGCAAACCGCCUUGAGGAGUCCCUGCAUAAGAGACUAUUGGAUACAGAAGGCUGUACUAAAGGAAGAUCUCAUCACAGCAUCAUCUAAGUCCUAGUCAGGAGUUAUAAUCUUAAGAGUAUAGAGCGGCUAACAAUAUCUGAUAAUAGUCCACGUGCAAUUAUUAUGUAUGUA